rnacentral:rRNA from 1 species
UACGUAGGGGGCAAGCGUUGUCCGGAAUCAUUGGGCGUAAAGAGCGCGUAGGCGGCCCGGUAAGUCCGCUGUGAAAGUCAAGGGCUCAACCCUUGAAUGCCGGUGGAUACUGUCGGGCUAGAGUCCGGAAGAGGCGAGUGGAAUUCCUGGUGUAGCGGUGAAAUGCGCAGAUAUCAGGAAGAACACCCGUGGCGAAGGCGGCUCUCUGGAACGCAACUGACGCUGAGACGCGAAAGCGUGGGGAGCGAACAGG